rnacentral:rRNA from 1 species
CCCUUAGAUGUUCUGGGCUGCACGCGCGCUACACUGAUGCACUCAACGAGUUUACGACCUUGCCCGAUAGGGUUGGGUAAUCUUUUUAAAAUGCAUCGUGAUGGGGAUAGAUUAUCGCAAUUAUUAAUCUUCAACGAGGAAUUCCUAGUAAGCGCGAGUCAUCAGCUCGUGCUGAUUACGUCCCUGCCCUUUGUACACACCGCCCGUCGCUCCUACCGAUUGAGUGCUCAGGUGAAUAAUUCGGACUGCAGCAAUGUUUGGAUCCCGAACGUUGCAGCGGAAAGUUUAGUGAACCUUAUCACUUAGAGGAAGGAGAAGUCGUAACA